CAUUAUGCUCCAACUCAUCACACUAUAAUCAUGCAUAUAGGAGAACAACUAAUCAUGCAUGAAACAGUGAACUGAGUUACCCGAAUGCAUCACUGGACCCAUAUUCGUCAACUGAUUGCAAUUCCUCGGCUCCAAAUCAACAAAACAAAUUAUCCAUCAAUGCUCGAAACUCAUCCAUGCGGAUUGCCAUCACUCCAAAUUCUUGUGGACCUCGUACCAUUGCAGAUUAUCGAAGUAAAU
rnacentral:lncRNA from 1 species